GCCCAAAAAGCUUGUACAAGCCCGAAAAUCCCCAAAAUUGAGAAGCUCCAACUCGAGCUUAUACAAAUCCCGGACUGUCUAAGCUAUAUCAUGCGUGUUCCAAGAAGCGCACAAUUGAGAAAAUAAUAAGAGUUCUUCGAAGAAAACCCUCAUUCCUCUGUGCAUGUUUCUCUUCAAUAUGGGAACCUACAAACAAUAUCGUUUUGUUCUCAGGACCGCAUCUCGAGGACUCUGAUUGGUGUGGGUGAACAACGUGAUGGGGUCUAUGUCUUCAAGGGUGUGGCACCGGUUCAAGCUUACAAGACAGAUGGAAUUGGAUCAUGCGAUUUGUGGCAUCAGAGAUUGGGACACCCUUCUUAUCAAACGAUUAACUUACUUCUUAAUAUCAGUAAUAGUAGGAACAAAACUUGUGAUGUUUGUUUGAAGGCAAAACAAACUAGAGAUGUCUUUAUUCAAAGCAGCAAUAAAGUGAUUGAUUGUUUUGCAUUAAUUCAUUGUGACUUAUGGGGUUCUUAUAGAGUACCUGCAUCUUGUGGUGUUGUAUAUUUUCUGACAAUUGUCGAU